rnacentral:rRNA from 1 species
UACGGGGGGGGCAAGCGUUGUUCGGAAUUACUGGGCGUAAAGGGCUCGUAGGCGGCCAACUAAGUCAGACGUGAAAUCCCUCGGCUCAACCGAGGAACUGCGUCUGAUACUGGAAGGCUUGAAUCCGGGAGAGGGAUGUGGAAUUCCAGGUGUAGCGGUGAAAUGCGUAGAUAUCUGGAGGAACACCGGUGGCGAAGGCGGCAUCCUGGACCGGUAUUGACGCUGAGGCGCGAAAGCGUGGGGAGCGAACAGG